AUUCAGCUGACGAGACCCAAAUAGGACGAAAUGCGCAUCCUGGAU
rnacentral:hammerhead_ribozyme from 1 species